rnacentral:tRNA from 1 species
GCGCGCGUAGCCCAACCGGCAGAGGCGACGGUCUUAAGAAUCGUUUAGUGAAAGUUCAAAUCUUUCCGCGCGCA